UAAUACAGAGACUGCAAGCGUUAUUCGGAUUCACUGGGCGUAAAGGGUGCGCAGGCGGUUGGGUGUGUCAGAUGUGAAAUCCCGAGGCUUAACCUCGGAACUGCGUCUGAAACUACUCGACUAGAGUACUGGAGAGGGAAACGGAAUUCACGGUGUAGCAGUGAAAUGCGUAGAUAUCGUGAGGAACACCAGAGGCGAAGGCGGUUUCCUGGACAGUUACUGACGCUCAGGCACGAAAGCAUGGGGAGCAAAAGGG
rnacentral:rRNA from 1 species